AAUGUCACUAUUUCAUUGUUUUGUUCCGACAUGUCGACCGCCGGUCUGCUUCACGUGUUUCAGAGCCGAAUAACCGAACGCUUUACCAGCGUCGCCAUGGAGAUAUUUCAAGAAGUGGCGCAUAUUGUAAAAGGAUACCAAGAGGAAAACGACCGUCUGCGAUCCUUACUGAACAAUGUGAUAAACGCACAGAUGAAUUCACCCAAGAUUGAUCACGGUCGAUUCACAAGACCAAGUACGGCUGUCAGAGAGCAAGCACCAAGGCUGAACAGUCCUGUGGAGACAGAAGUACAGCAAUGUACUAAAGUACCGAAAAUUGAGCAUACUGAGCUGUUGGAGCCAGUGGCCGAUAUACCUGAAGAGGAGAAAAAAGAUAUGUCAGAGCUGCUGGCUAAUCUACCUAAAGAGGAGCAAACUGAAAUAUCAGUGUCUUAUGUAAUGGAAGUAUCAGAGCAGCUGGCCAAUGAACAAGAAAUAUAUUUUUCUAGAAGGUUGGCACCAGAACCAGAAAGAGGAACAGACAAUAGCAUCACAAUGGCUUGUCGUAAAAGUGAUUCCAAACAGGAAGGCACUGAAAGGCCUGACAUUGCUACCUCACUUCAGGCUGUUGCUUUUGGAGACUUCAACACAUCCAUGGAAUUCACUCAGCUGAGCAGGAGUGAAGAAAUCCUAAACAAAGACCUGGGAUAUCCUGAAUCUCCGAAACAAUCAUACAAAAAGAAGUUUGCUGUAACACUGCUUGAGGACUAUCGGGCAAGUCUGAAAACAAGUGAUGAAGAGGACUAUAUAGGCUGCCUCAAUACAAUUGUGGACAGUCUCAGCCGGCCUGGGGCAGCCCAUAGACCUGGAGGUGGACGAAGACAACGUUGAGAAGUGGAUGGAUGAACACAAUUUGGUUUUGACCACCAACAAACUGCAGGGACUUCGCAGGGAGCAGCUAAGUGAAAUGUCAGAGAAGCUUUGUGUUGAUGAGUAUAGAGCCUGGAAGUGCAACAUUCCAAAUGCAGAACUCAAGGAACUGUUGGGGGUAUUUGUUCUUUUUGUGCACCCAUACAUAGCAGUUGCACCUCCCUGUACACCAUCACUUACAGAGUUGAGGUUGAGUAGACAAUUUAUUGUUUUUACAUUUUACAGUUAACUGUAUACAUUGUCUUUACAUGUGCAUCUCUAUUAUACCAUUGUAGGGCAACAAACCAUAUUUGAUCAAAUGUUUAUUUACCAGAAGAAGAAGGAAGAAAAAUUACCAAACGUGAAAAGGGGGAUUGUACUGCCGGUGUACCUUCUCAGAUUGUGUUGUUACUUUUCAUCGACCGGGGGGCCUUUUGGGGUAAACCACUAUUUAUUUUAGGAGGGUUGAAGAUUUUUUUUAGGGGGGCUAAAACAAUACAACUUUGUCAUUGACACAUACUACCCCCAAUAAUUUUUUGGGGGGGGUGGCUUGAGAAGUUUUUAGGGGUGCUUCAGCGACUAGGCCUAGCGAUGCAACUGCUAUCAAAUGUAAAUAACAAAUGAGGUGGGUUUUUUUUAAAGCAUUUUGCUAAUUCUGAACAUUUAAAUUGAUCCUCAAAAAGUAGCCUUAGCUCUAAUUGACAUUCAUUAGUGGCCAAACUUCCCGUCCACUUGAACCAAUAAAUGUUUUUCUCACCAAGUAGGCGUAUCCGACCCAGGGUGGUCCACCGGCCCCACCGAGGCGCCCCAAAACCGGCCACCCGGAAGAGGCCGCAGGGCCCCAAAGCCCCCACCCCCAGGAGGGCCAGGGGCCCCCCACUAACUCGCAGGGCUCACCAAUGUAGCCAUGGGAAUGAUAAGUGGGUCACCCCGGAGAGCAGCCACGUGAAGUGAGAGGGGAGGCCCCACCCCAAGCAGCCAUCCAACCAGAGGGGCCCGGCCACAGAAGCACCACCAUGGCCCUACCCCAUGAAUAAGUGGCCCCUGAGUUGUGUAGUGCAUUAAAAGCUGGAGUGGCCCAUGAGGAUGGGGCUGACACAAGAUCUGAAUUUGCUCCCUGACCAUAAACAGUUGUUACCCACUGCUCCUUGGGAAUGGGCGUUGUGAAUUGUGUAUAAGAAAAAUAAAUAAUGUCACGAGCUUAUCUGAUGCACUGACCAGCCACAACAUAGCCACAGGCACGAUAAUCAGGUCCAUUAUGAAAGUGCUAUCAAAAAGUAUGCCUUUACAAAAAUAAUCAUUAGUUUUGAUUGACAUAUUAUAGAUGUAUUAAUUUAUACGUUGUUAUUUGAUUCUAUUAGUGUAGAAGUACAUACAGCUGAGUUGAUGUGGUGUAUAAUUCGCUGAACAGUCUGUAUGACAGCUACACUUCAGUUAUGUAAGGAGAACUGACAAUUUUUGUGGAGAUUGGCUUGAUUUAUCUAUUCACUCAGAACUCUUUUCGAGUGGAGGCUGGCCUAACCGCAGUAAAAUACUUGCGGUGUAUUUAUAUGUGAUCUAUAUUAUAGCCAGGAGACCGCGUUGUGUUUUCCGGUGAACCACAAGUUGACCGGAAACCAGGUCGUUUCGUUUGCCGUUUCUCUUCCGGGUUCUCUUUCUUUAGCGUCCUCGUCGAUGUAUUUCGAGCUCCGUGAGUGCAAAAAGAUAAUCAACCGUUUUCGCAUUGCACUUCGUUGUUCCGACAUGUCGACCGUAAAUCAGAUGCAAGCGUUUCAGUCCCGUUUAACCGAACGUCUCACCUGCUUCGCCAUGGAGAUAUUUCAAGAAGUGGCGCGUAUGGUGAAAGCAUACCAAGAGGAGAACGACUGUCUGCGGUCCUUACUGAACAAUGUGAUAACUACCCAGGGGAAUAUAGCCAUAAUGGAUCACAAUAGAUUGGCUAGACCGGCUACAGCUGUUAGAGAGCAACCACCUGAGCUGAAGAUUCCCUUGGUGAAGGGAGCAGAGCCAUGUGCCAAAAGGCCUAAAAUGGAGCAUACUAACCCACUGACGAAUGUGACUGAAGAGAAGGAAACUGAUGUUUUGCAGCCAUUUGAGAGUACAACUAAAGAAGAACAAACAGAAGUACCAGUGUCCUCUGCAGUGGAAGUAUCUGAGCCAUUGGUUGGUGCAUCUAUGUUGGAGCAAACAGGACUGUCAGAGUCAUCUGCAAUUGAAGGAUAUUUUCCAUUUCCUGAUACACCUAGACAGCAUCAAAGAGAAGUGUCAGAGCCAUUGGCCAAUGAAUCCAAUGAGCAGAAAAUAGAAUAUAAUAAGAGCUUGGCACUAGAACAAGAAAGCGGAGCAGACAGUGGCGUCACAAUGGAUUGUCCUAAAAGUUAUCCCAAAGAACAAGACACAACCGCACGUCAGGCAGUGGCUUUUGGUGACGUCUUUGCAGCCAUGGAAUUCGAUCAGCCGAGCACUAGUGGGGAAAUCGCAAACCAAGAACUGCUACUUCAGGAGCGUCCAAAAGUAUCCCCCAAAAAGAAGGGUACCCGGGAUGGCAAGCCAAAGAGGAAAACUGUGAUGACAACCAUAGCACUGAAAAAGGAACUUAUCGCCAAGUGGGAGAGAGGGACACGUGUGUCUGAUCUGGCUGUUCAGUACAAUAUGGCUAAGUCGACAGUAUCAACCAUAUUGAAGAGAAAAGAAGCCAUCAAAGCUGCUGAUGUGGCGAAAGGGGUAAAAACACUUAGUAGCAGAAGAACUGAUAAAGUGGAAGAAGUGGAAAAGGUUCUGCUUGAGUGGAUUACCCAUAAACAGUUGAGGGGCGACACUGUGUCAGAGACCCUAAUUUGUGACAAGGCAAGGGAGCUGCAUAAUGCCCUUACCCGGGACAACCCUGGGGGCAGUUCUGAGGAAUUCAAGGCUAGUAAGGGGUGGUUUGUUAAUUUUAAGGAGAGAAGUGGAAUCCACGGUGUUCUAAGACCUAGGGAGGCUGCCAGGGCUGGAAAAGAAGACACCAAGAAAUUUGAUGAUGAAUUUCAGAACUUUGCUAACAGCCAGGGUUUUCUCUCCUAACGCGUUUGUGACAAGACCUGAAUGCCAAAGAGGACGGGCAUCACAGGGCAGAGAACACCUUCCUCGGACACAGGCCUUUAAAAGUUAGGCAAACUGCUGCUCUGGGAUAAUGCCAGUAGGGACUGCAAAAUCAAUUUACUGCUUAUGUACCAUUCUGAAACCUGAUUUAAACAAUUUGUGAAAUAAUAUAAACUUGAUUUAAUGUAUAUCUCAAAUUGAGGGUGGCCAGGCAGCUCUUGAAGGAAUGGUUUAAGAAUGAGUUUGCUCCCAGUGUUAAGGAAUGCCUGACAGAGAAUCAAGUUCCAACUCAUUCUUCUUCUCAAGAACACACUUGGAGGUGACCUAAAAGGACAAACCUAACCCUUUUGGUACCCUGUGAAUGAGCACUUUAAUAUCCUCUACUCCUCGAGCGUUGUAGAGAAUGCCUGGGCAAGUUAUGAAGAGGACAAUGUCAUCUGCCUGGAAAAAAAUGUGGUCAGCCUUAAUGGCACUCAGAGCUUUUAAAGGCAUUGAGCAAUAAUAAUAAUCCAUUCGAUUUACAGUGGGUACGGAAAGUUUUCAGACCCAACUUAAAAUUUUCACUCUUUGUUAUAUUGCAGCCAUUUGUUAAAAUCAUUUAAGUUAAUUUCCCUCCCUCAUUAAUGUACACAGCACCACAUAUUGACAGAAAUUUUUUUUUGAAGGUUUUGCUGAUUUAUUAAAAAAAGAAAAACUGAAAUAUCACACAGCCAUAAGUAUUCAGACCCUUUGCUGUGACACUCAUAUUUAACUUGGGUGCUGUCAAUUUCUUCUGAUCAUCCUAAAGAUAGUUCUACACCUUCAUUGGAGUCCAGCUGUGUUUGAUUGUACUGAUUGGACUUGAUUAGGAAAGAAGCACCCCUAUCUAUAUAAGACCUUACAGUUCAGAGUGCAUGUCAGCGAAAAUGAGAAUCAUGAGGUCAAAGGAACUGCCCGAAGAGCUCAGGGACAGAAUUGUGGCAAGGCACAGAUCUGGCCAAGGUUACGAAAAAAAAAAAAAUCUGCUGCACUUAAGGUUCCUAAGAGCACAGUGGCCUCCAUAAUCCUUAAAUGGAAGACGUUUGGGAUGACCAGAACACUUCCUAGAGCUGGCCGUCCAGCCAAACUGAGCAAUUGGGGGAGAAGAGCCUUGGUGAGAGAGGUAAAGAAGAACCAAAAGAUCACUGUGGCUGAACUCCAGAGAUGCAGUCGGGAGAUGGGAGAAAAUUCUAGCAAGUCAACCAUCACUGCAGCCCUGCACCAGUCGGGGCUUUAUUACACAGUGGCCCGACGGAAGGAUCUCCUAAGUGAAACACACAUGAAAGCCUGCAUGGAGUUUGCUAAAAAAAAAAAAAACACCUGAAGGACUCCAAGAUGGUGAGAAAUAAGAUUCUCUGGUCUGAUGAGACCAAGAUAGAAAUUCCAUCCAUCGAUCCAUCAAUUUUCUGAGCCGCUUCUCCUCACUAGGGUCGCGGGCGUGCUGGAGCCUAUCCCAACAUGGUGACUGGUUGCAAUUGAAGAAAAGAUGAAUGUGGCCAAAUACAGGGAUAUCCUGGACGAAAACCUUCUUCAGAGUGCUCAGAACCUCACACUGGGCCGGAUGUUCACCUUAAAAAAAGACAAUGACCCUAAGCACACAGAUAAAAUACCAAAGGAGUGGCUUCAGAACAACUGCAUGACUGUUUUUGAAUGGCCUAGACAGAGCCCUGACUUAAACUCAGUUGAGCAUCUGUGGAAAGACCUGCAAAUGGCUGCCCACCAACAUUCACCAUCCAACCUGACGGAACUGGAGAGGAUCUGCAAGGACGAAUGGCAGAUGAUCCCCAAAUCCAGGUGUGAAAAACUUGUUGCAUCAUUCCCAAAAAGACUCAUAGCUGUAUUUGCUCAAAAGGGUGUUUCUACUAAAUACUGAGCAAAGAGUCUGAAUACUUAUGGCUGAGUGAUAUUUGAGUUUUUCUUUUUCAAUAAAAAAUUUCAACAAUUCAGUUUUCCCCCCCCUGUCAUUAUGGGGUGCUGUGUGUAGAUUAAUGAGGAAAAAUGAACUUAAAUGAUUUUUAACAAAUGGCUGCAAUAUAACAAAGAGUAAAAUAUGUAAGGGGGUCUGAAAACUUUCCGUACCCACUGUGUAUAGCGCUUCUAAAGGAACUCAAAGAUGCUUUACAAUUGCACCAAUUAUUCAUUUAUUCACUCAGUCACACCCAUGUGUUGGUCAACUACUUGUUUAGCCAUAGCUGCCCUCGAGCAGUGUGGCUGCCAUUCUGCGCUUGCGACCACCACCAGACAUCCAACCACAUUCAUUUGUAGGCAAUGUGGGUUAAGUUAAGCAACCAUCCGGUUGCUGGGUGUACACCUAACCGCUGCGCCACACCGCCCCAAGUGCUGUGGUGGAGGAUAUUCUAUCACUCGGGCAGUCCAUGGACCUAGAAGUGGACAAGGUCGAAAGGUUGAUGGACAACACACUGUGGUUCUGAUCACCGACAAACUGCAGGGUCUUCAGAGGGAGCAGCAGAGAAGUUCCAGAGGAACUUUGUGAGGAGCAGUAUGGAGGCUGGAAUUGCAACAUUCCUACUGCAGAAAUCAAGGGACUGUUGGGAUAUUGGGUCUUUUUAUGCACCUCCCUGUACCACAUCAUCGCUCCUCAAAGACAAGGUUGAAUACCGGAAUGCCUUCUGCAGAAGACCAUCCUCGACUUUCCAAGGAAGAGCCCCAACAAGUCUUGCAAUGUUCCUAUUUCACCACCUCAAUAUUUUUUGGCCAAACUUGCCCAAAGCUGCAAGGACUGUCCUGAACAGAAACCCCUGAUUGCCAAAAUAGCAGAUGAUAUGGAAUCCGUGGACAUCCCUUUUAGUCAUGUUCCUCAAGGUUACCCCAUAUCCUCCCAGCACCUUGUUCCAUCAAAAGAGGAUUUUACAUAUCACAAUAAUGCUCCUAAAUGGCCACAGCUUCCCCUGACUCAUCACAGCCCAGAAAGUGUUAACUGGGAGAUAUCUGACAAUCUGAGGCAGAUCAUACGCAAGAACAAGGUGUCCAGAGAGCGGAUGCAGAAGAUGUACCUGAGCAACCACCCUAACGAGACCUGCACAUUUAAACCAGUACCAAGUGACCCGCAGAACCUGAUACUCAAGAUGGUGAACAAAAUGUCAUGCAGAUCAGCUCAGGAAGAGGAGGAAAUGAAGAGUCAAGCACUUCGUCUGUACUGUCGCAAUGUAUGUGUCAACUGGACGCCCUGUAAUUUGGUCAUUGACCCAAAUUCUCCAUGGCUGGGGGCCCAGCCUCAUGGCUUGGUGUACGACCCAAAAGAAGAUCCCAGUUUUGGACUGGUAUAUGUCAGCUGUUCCAGCCUCCAGAGUUUCAUAGACUGCCCCUUCUUGAGAUUCAAGAAUGAAUUAGUGUUCCUAAAAAACACAGACGAGCACUAUAUACACAUCCAGGGAGAGAUGAUGGUGACUGGCACGUCGUGGUGUGACCUGCUGGUGUUUGCCAAGGAAGACAUACUGGUUCAGAGAAUAUACAGAGACAGAUGCACCAUUGAGAGAAUGAAGGGAAAGUUGGAUGAGUAUUAUUUUUAUCAGUAUCUGCCAAGUAUUUCAAAGUGAUGUCCACUAUUUCAAAAUGCUGGCAUACACAUGCACGGCAACUUGUUGGUGCUACUGGAAGUGAGUUUUUGUAAUGUUUCAUUCAAUACAGUUUUUUAUUCCUUGCACUAAAAAUGUUGAUGUAGUUGGAUCAUUCGUGGCUAUUGGUGCCUUUUCCUCCCCCAUGAAAACAAUGUUUUACUUGAAAUUAAUAAAAUGUUAAUUAUAAAAACAUUUCUAACAUUUACAAUUAACUA